rnacentral:rRNA from 1 species
CAGAGUUUGAUCCUGGCUCAGAUUGAACGCUGGCGGCAGGCUUAACACAUGCAAGUCGAGCGGUAACAGGAGAAGCUUGCUUCUCGCUGACGAGCGGCGGACGGGUGAGUAAUACUUAGGAAUCUGCCCAGUAGUGGGGGAUAGCUCGGGGAAACUCGAAUUAAUACCGCAUACACCCUACGGGGAAAAGGGGGCGCUUGCGCUCUCGCUAUUGGAUGAGCCUAAGUCGGAUUAGCUAGUUGGUGGGGUAAAGGCCUACCAAGGCGACGAUCUGUAGCUGGUCUGAGAGGAUGAUCAGCCACACCGGGACUGAGACACGGCCCGGACUCCUACGGGAGGCAGCAGUGGGGAAUAUUGGACAAUGGGGGCAACCCUGAUCCAGCCAUGCCGCGUGUGUGAAGAAGGCCUUUUGGUUGUAAAGCACUUUAAGCAGUGAAGAAGACCUAACGGUUAAUACCCGUUAGCGAUGACAUUAGCUGCAGAAUAAGCACCGGCUAACUCUGUGCCAGCAGCCGCGGUAAUACAGAGGGUGCAAGCGUUAAUCGGAAUACUGGGCGUAAAGCGAGCGUAGUGGCUUGAUAAGUCAGAUGUGAAAUCCCCGGGCUUAACCUGGGAACUGCAUCUGAUACUGUCAGGCUAGAGUAGGUGAGAGGGAGGUAGAAUUUCAGGUGUAGCGGUGAAAUGCGUAGAGAUCUGAAGGAAUACCGAUGGCGAAGGCAGCCUCCUGGCAUCAUACUGACACUGAGGUUCGAAAGCGUGGGUAGCAAACAGGAUUAGAUACCCUGGUAGUCCACGCCGUAAACGAUGUCUACUAGUCGUUGGGGAACUUGAUUCCUUAGUGACGCAGCUAACGCAAUAAGUAGACCGCCUGGGGAGUACGGCCGCAAGGUUAAAACUCAAAUGAAUUGACGGGGGCCCGCACAAGCGGUGGAGCAUGUGGUUUAAUUCGAUGCAACGCGAAGAACCUUACCUGGUCUUGACAUAUCUAGAAUCCUGCAGAGAUGCGGGAGUGCCUUCGGGAAUUAGAAUACAGGUGCUGCAUGGCUGUCGUCAGCUCGUGUCGUGAGAUGUUGGGUUAAGUCCCGCAACGAGCGCAGCCCUUUUCCUUAGUUACCAGCGGUUUGGCCGGGGACUCUAAGGAUACUGCCAGUGACAAACUGGAGGAAGGCGGGGACGACGUCAAGUCAUCAUGGCCCUUACGACCAGGGCUACACACGUGCUACAAUGGUAGGUACAGAGGGCAGCUACACAGCGAUGUGAUGCGAAUCUCAAAAAGCCUAUCGUAGUCCAGAUUGGAGUCUGCAACUCGACUCCAUGAAGUAGGAAUCGCUAGUAAUCGCGGAUCAGAAUGCCGCGGUGAAUACGUUCCCGGGCCUUGUACACACCGCCCGUCACACCAUGGGAGUUGAUUGCACCAGAAGUGGGUAGCCUAACUUUUAGAGGGCGCUCACCACGGUGUGGUUGAU